CCAUAAUUUACUGGUGGAAAGCGGCAGUUUUUUAGUGAAUUUGGCGGUUUUAAAUGCCAGUAUCUCAUUAUCUGCUUCCGUAAUAUAAAAACCUAACUCUUAUUUUACUAAUAAACGCUGUGCUACUCAAUCUAUCGAAACUCCAUGGCAACGUGAGAACUAGGAAGAAACUCCCUUGCAGCGUGAGAUAUGCGAUCUCAUCUGGCGACUGGCGGCAAUCUCCUCAAUCAACGCUUUUCUUCCAGCUGCGAUCUCCUCCAUCAAAGUUUCCUACUCCAUCGUGUUGUGCUCUGUGAAGCUUCUCCUUCUCCAUCUUCGUUGAACUAGGUUUUGAUUUUCUCUUUGUUAGCAAAAAUUGGGGGCAAUCGAAGAUUCUAGAAUUUCAAUCGUGGUUUUUUCCCAAAGCUAUGGGAAUUCGACAUGGUGGUUGAAGGAAUUGGAGAAGAUAAUGGAGUGUCGGAGCAGCAAGGGUCAAAAAGUUGUGCCGGUGUUCUACGGUGUUGAUCCAUCGGAAGCUGGUGCGGCGUUUGCAUACCGGGAACCGCUCAAGGAAGUUGCUUGCCUUCCAGGUUUUGUUACAUAUAUCAGCAGUCGUCGAAUGCUAUGAAACUCUCAAGGAUAUCAUUUAUGACCUCCUGCAAGAUGAGGAAGAUAAGAUGUCUUCCAUGUAUUGUGAUAGGAUUGUAAGCCAUAUUUGUGAUAAAGUUGAAUGGAGCAUACAAGAACACACAUUUGUCAAGGAAUUCAAGAUGAGUGGUUUGCCUUCACUUAGUGAGAAAUUGGAGAAAUUCCUAACUCUAUUGGUAACUCUUUCCUCUCAGAAUAUCUCAAUUUCCUAUAUAGACCCUUUGACAGUAAAGGAAUCAGCCAUAAAUGUGCCUCAAAAUCUGGAUGCUCGUCGCCGUAUCACAUUCUUUGCAAAUUCCUUAUUCAUGAAUAUGCUGAAGGCUCCCAAAGUUUGAAACAUGUUGUCCUUCAGUGUUUUGACACCAUAUUACAAAGAAGAUGUUCGAUAUUCGAUUGAGGAACUUAAUAAGGAAAAUGAAGAUGGGAUAUCAAUCUUAUUCUACUUAAGAAAGAUAUACCCUGAAUGGAUCAUUCCUAGAGCUGCUACCUGCCAUAAGUUGUUACUGAUGUGUAUUCUGGUUAAUAUGUUUGAAGAAACUAAUCUGAUAGGAACCAAUAUAUAACAACGUGUUGGUCUUGUUAGAUCAAGUAAAGAAAUGAGAUCACCGGCCAUAGUAGAAUUGCUAUUCUGGUUAAUAUGGUUUUAACUGAGCUUGAAGCAGAGGAGCGCCUAUCCUAUUCAUGUGAGAAGGGGCCUGCUCAAGAUGAAGUCAUUGCUGAGCUAAGAAAUGCAUUUCUGGAAAUUGUUAAGGAAUAUAAAGUCUUUACUGCAAAUUUUUAAUAAUAAUUGUGACUUUAGGUUGUGGCAGCUGGUGGACUGCAUGUAGUUGGCACAGAGCGUCAUGAGUCUCGGAGAAUUGAUAAUCAGUUGCGUGGUCGAAGUGGCAGACAAGGAGAUCCAGGAGGCUUACGCUUUUUCUUAAGUCUUGAAGAUAACAUUUUUCGUAUAUUUGGUGGAGACCAAAUUCAGGUAAUCUAUUUGAUGUGCAGCUGCUGUGCAGGGUCAUUGAUCACCAGAAGUGGAGAACUACUUCUUUGACAUUCAGAAACAGUUGUUUGAGUAUGAUGAAGUGCUCAACAGCCAAAGAGAUUGUGUUUAUACAGAGAGAAGACGAGCACUUGAAUCUGAGAAUUUUCAGUCUCUUCUUAUUGAAUAUGCUGAAUUAACAAUGGAUGAUAUUAUAGAGAUUAUUUAAUGGAAAUGAUUUAUCUGGUUCUAUACCAGAAACAUUAGGACUAGUUCAGACACUUGAGGUUCUCCGGCUUGAUAGAAAUUCCCUGACAGGAGAGGUUCCUACAAGUCUUUGUAAGAGAUGAGUUUGGAUAAUGAAGUUGGAGUGUUGGAGCAAGAAACAAAGAUGUUGGAGCAAGUUCCCGAGAUGAAACUCACACAAGAGACUAGAAAACUAAGGCAGGCUUGUUUUAAAGUUAAUUACAAAAGGAGAAAAUUUUUGGCCUCCAAAUCUUAUUCAUCAUCACAUAGUUAAGCUACUUGUCUUGUAUAUUCAUAUUCUAAGUAGUAAAAACAACACUUAUUAGAUGGUUUAAAUAAAUUAUUAGAUAUUAACAUAGUUUAGAGAACUGGAUGGUAGAUUUAACUUAUUAGUGUUUAUUGAAAUGUUUGUAUUUUGGUAAGUUUAGUAAGACAAGGUUUUGUAUAGGAGUUAUUACUUUUGAUUUUCAA